UACGGAGGGUGCGAGCGUUGUCCGGAAUCACUGGGCGUAAAGGGCGCGUAGGCGGCCUGAUAAGUAGGGGGUGAAAUCCUGCGGCUUAACCGCAGGGCUGCCUUCUAAACUGUCAGGCUCGAGCACAGUAGAGGCAGGUGGAAUUCCCGGUGUAGCGGUGGAAUGCGUAGAGAUCGGGAGGAAUACCGAUGGCGAAAGCAACCGUCUGGGCCUGAACUGACACUGAGACACGAAAGCGUGGGGAGCAAACAGG
rnacentral:rRNA from 1 species